AGAAGAAGAAGAGAUAAAAGAAACACAAAAUAUACAAGAGACAAUCAACCAAAUGUCAGAGACGAUCCCUCUCUUUUCUUCCUCUCUUUCUCAUUCUCAGAUUCGAGAUCUUGUUUUUCAGUGUACUCAAAAAUGUAUGAAACAAGGGAUAGACAAAGAAGGAAAAAGAGAGCCAUGGGAACACCAAUUAAAAUGUGUACAAGAAAUCUUAUUUGAUUUGAUUUGUUUUUAUGUUUUGUUUUGUUUGGAGAGAGAG
rnacentral:ribozyme from 13 species